UACGUAGGGGGCAAGCGUUGUUCGGAAUUACUGGGCGUAAAGGGCUCGUAGGCGGCCAACUAAGUCAGACGUGAAAUCCCUCAGCUUAACUGGGGAACUGCGUCUGAUACUGGAUGGCUUGGAUUCGGGAGAGGAAUGCGGAAUUCCAGGUGUAGCGGUGAAAUGCGUAGAUAUCUGGAGGAACACCGGUGGCGAAGGCGGCAUUCUGGACCGACAUUGACGCUGAGGAGCGAAAGCCAGGGGAGCAAAGCGGG
rnacentral:rRNA from 1 species